rnacentral:ncRNA from 1 species
UAUAUGGUGCUUUGUAAAAAGUCAAAAGGGAAUGUGGUUUAAGUCCACAACAGCCCCCGCUACUGUAAUUGGUUUGAAAGCUGUAUGUAAUAGUCAUUGGAGAAAUGUAUGAACACUCAAUCAUCUGCCGGAAGUAUUGCUUCGAUUGAGAUAGAUGCAUUUAUCUGAGAAGACUGCAGUAAGUAAGAUAACCAUAAGUCAGGAAACCUGCCAUAUAUAAUUU